rnacentral:rRNA from 1 species
AUACGUAGGGGGCGAGCAUUGUCCGGAAUGAUUGGGCGUAAAGGGCGCGUAGGCGGCCCGGUAAGUCUGGAGUGAAAGUCCUGCUUUUAAGGUGGGAAUUGCUUUGGAUACUGUCGGGCUUGAGUGCAGGAGAGGUAAGUGGAAUUCCCAGUGUAGCGGUGAAAUGCGUAGAGAUUGGGAGGAACACCAGUGGCGAAGGCGACUUACUGGACUGUAACUGACGCUGAGGCGCGAAAGUGUGGGGAGCAAACAGGAUUAGAGACCCUGGUAGUCCACACUGUAAACGAUGAAUGCUAGGUGUAGGGGGUAUCGACCCCUUCUGUGCCGCAGUUAACACAAUAAGCAUUCCGCCUGGGGAGUACGGCCGCAAGGUUGAAACUCAAAUGAAUUGACGGGG